AAUAAAGAUGGUUAUAUAUCCUACAAAGAAUUCCGCCGCGCUAUGCAGGCGCAAAAAGUCUAUACACGUGAGGAGAUUGAAUACAUCAUGAUGUGUGUUGAUGCCAAUCAGGAUGGCAGAGUGGACUUUGAGGAGUUUACAGACAGGUUCCAUAACCCUGCUAAAGACAUUGGCUUCAACAUUGCUGUGCUCCUGACCAACCUGUCUGAGCACAUGCCCAAUGACCCAAGACUUGAAAGAUUCUUAGAGAAAGCUAGAUGUGUUCUAGACUACUUUGAGCCAUACUUGGGUCGUAUAGAGAUCAUGGGCAGUGCCAACAGGAUAGAGAGAGUCUACUUUGAGAUAAAACAGUCCCACAUAGACCAGUGGGAGAAACCACAAAUCAAGGACUCCAAGAGAUCUUUCCUACACAAUGUAGUCAAUGAAGAUGGAGAUAAAGAGAAGUUGGAAUCAUUUGUCAACUUCUGUGAGGACACCAUAUUUGAAAUGCAGCAUGCUAACAGCAUUAGUGCCGAGGAACAGUCUAUAAGGAUGAUGCAGGCCACCCAAGCUGCCGCAGCAAGUGGCUCAUCCAGUUCACCAACAGACAUCAUCUUUUCCAUAUUUGGCUUUGUAAAGGAUGGCAUCGGCUC
rnacentral:misc_RNA from 1 species